GACAGCAGCCGCCGCGGGAACACAGAGGGUGCGAGCGUUAAUCGGAUUUACUGGGCGUAAAGCGUGCGUAGGCGGCUUCUUAAGUCGGAUGUGAAAUCCCUGAGCUUAACUUAGGAAUUGCAUUCGAUACUGGGAAGCUAGAGUAUGGGAGAGGAUGGUAGAAUUCCAGGUGUAGCGGUGAAAUGCGUAGAGAUCUGGAGGAAUACCGAUGGCGAAGGCAGCCAUCUGGCCUAAUACUGACGCUGAGGUACGAAAGCAUGGGGAGCAAACAGGAUUAGAUACCCCUGUAGUCCCUGUCUCUUAUAC
rnacentral:rRNA from 1 species